GAUGAAGGAAGGCAGGCAUGCUAGAAACCUUAUUCUGCUCUGACUGCUCAAGGACACUUGGCAGCAUCUACAGGUGCACCUCAAGGAACCUCGACUACGAGAGAGAUUUGUUCUGUUUGAGUAUUGGCUCCAUGGACAGACUGUACCUGCUGUAAGGCUGAGGUGAGACCAGGAUCUGUAAAAUCCCUGACUCUCCGUGUCUUCCUGAGGCUGAAGCCAUGUUUGCUGUCAAUGACGACAUGGUGGAAGAUGCUGAACACUGAAAACUUUGGGUUUUUCCCUGAACCCCAAGACUCUCUCUGCAGCUGUGCCCUGUCUCUCUCUUAAAAGAGUUUCUGGGUUUACAAAAGUUUUUAUAUUUUGCAAUAUUUAUCUAUAACUCAAUUAAAAAGAAUCAUACUGUAUCAAUGUGGUGUCAAUUACUUUGUUUGAGUUGGUUAAUUAAAGCAAAUUAUUGAUAAGGGGUUUGAGCAUCCCUUAGUUGGAGCUGGCAGCUCUUAUUUAAUUUCUCUUCAUUCCUUUAAUUUCUUUCAAUUAUUUCUUAGGCAAGUACUGCAAUUAGGAUAUACAGUAAGGACAAGAGCAUUUCUGCCCUGCUGGAUUGGGAAAUCCAAGCCCAAUUCCUUGGAGAGAUUGAGGGGCUGGGGAUCUGUGUCUCAAGCUGGGUUUUGACAGUGGAAUUUGGUGAGGAAGGAAGAGGAGAGAUCCCACAGAAAGUGGCUCAGGCCAGUUCUGCUGGCUUUGGGUGCUCCUAC
rnacentral:lncRNA from 1 species